rnacentral:rRNA from 1 species
AUCGGUUUUUCCAGCCAGCGUUUGGCCGACUGCGCCGCACGAAGGGAGAAGGAAGGGGGCAGGAAAACAGGGGGCGGCGGCGGAACGGAAAGCAGAGGUCUCUGGCUGCUGCUGUUGCUGACUGCAGCGAUGAAUUCGAGGCCGAUCGUGCUCGUCUUCCUCCUGCUCGUGCUCAUCAUAUCAUCGCAGUUCGAGUGGAAGCAGCAGAUCGGCGAGGCCGAGGCGAGCCCGGAAGCUACGCGGCGGAGGCAGCAACCGCAGGUUGUAAGGGAAGAUGCCGUUAAAGAGAAAAUAAUACUGGCGCAGGAAAAGAACAUCCAACAACUCACCGAGCUCAUCCAGAGCCUCCAGGUGCAGCUACUGCAUUGCCGUGGCAGCAACAGCACUGCUCAUGGCGCCUCCUCGAAUCAGUCUUCAGCCAGUUACGCCGAAGCGGACAGACAUCAGAUAAUCGAUGACUGA